CUUGUAUAAUCCCAUUUUAUUAGUUUUGUGCUGUUUACAACAGGCAUUGAGACAUUGUAGACAAAUCUGCAUCUAUUCCUCUAAUGAUUAACUGAAAAUGACAUUAAUGAAAAGAAAAAAGAAAGAAGAAAGAUACUGAAUAGAGGAAGAAUGGUGUAAAAAUUGUGAAGGCAGGUUUACAACAUAGGUUCUUGAAUCAUAUAAGAAAUACAAGAGCAAUGAUCGAUGUUAAAGUUUGUUAAUGAGUAACAAACACAUGCUCUUAAGAUGUCAGGUGAUUAUCAGAUAUUUAAGUCAUUUCUGAACAAACAAAAGUGAUUUUAACAUUGUCCUUUUGACAUGUGGUCACAUGACAUCUUGUGGGCAGGGACUAUUUCAUUCCCACUCUGUAAAUGUAUUGUGAUUGAGAGGUGAGGUAGUUGUAGGAGGUUAAUGGGUAGGCUAUGAAGUAUAGUCUUCAGAAAACAGAACAUUUCUAAAUCCCAUUUCUACCAUGGUAAUGGGAGAGAAAAUACAGAUUGCCCAUUGGACGGUGACUCAGAUGGUGUUUGAACACAGGAGGUGUGUGAAAAAAGGUUGCUCUUUACAGAUAGAAUAUUAUACUUUAAUCGAGCCUUUCAAGGGUUUCAUGUGUCGUCUGUUUUAAUAUGAAUUUAAUAUCAUGUCAUAUGAUUAACUACAUGCAAUCUGUUUCUUUUUUUCUUUUUCUUUUUUAAACAAUCUGAUUAAGUAGUUUUAGUAAUGGCAGGAGAUCGGUUCAAGGAAUGGGUUCACCCUGUUUUAAUAGACUAGAGUAGUGGUUGUAGUUGUUGUAGGAGUGGUGGUACGAGUAGUUGGAGUAGUGGUUGGAGUAGUGGUUGGAGUAGGGGUUGGAGUAGUGGUUGGAGUAGGGGUUGGAGUGAUAAAACAUGACAUAAUUAUCUGAAUGAUAUCAUGAUUAGUUAAAUAUGGGUCACAUGUUAUUAGACGAGUAGUGGUUGGAGUAGUGGUUGGGGUAGUGGUUGGAGUGGUGGUUGGAGUGGUGGUUGGAGUGGUGGUUGGAGUGGUGGUUGGAGUGGUGGUUGGAUGGGAAACGCUUGUGGAUUGUGAAGACACUGAGAAGAGGAUAGUUAGUUAGACAGUUAGUAUUUUUCAUUCUGCUUAUUUACUGUAUUAUUUGCACUUUAAAUAAGUCAGUAUUUAUUCUUACCCUGUGUGAAUCCAGGGUUGAUUCUCAGGCCUUUUAUUUCAUUUCUGCUAUUGACGGCCUGCAGAAAUAGGUACUUGAUCACCAUGGCAUUGGUUUGGUCUGAGUAGAACAUGAUGGUGGCCUGAACAACCACAGAUCCAGCCUUGUCACUAGACAUGGAGCCAGAGAGAUAAUAAAUAACUCAAGUGAUAUUUAAUGUUGCAGAUGA
ensembl:lncRNA